AACGUAGGAGACUAGCGUUAUCCGGAUUUACUGGGCGUAAAGCGUGUGCAGGCGGUUCGGCAAGUUGGAUGUGAAAUCUCCCGGCUCAACUGGGAGGGGUCGUUCAAUACUACCGAACUUGAGGGCAUCAGAGGAAGGUGGAAUUCCGGGUGUAGUGGUGAAAUGCGUAGAUAUCCGGAGGAACACCAGUGGCGGAAGGCGGCCCUUCUGGGGAUGCUCCUGACGCGACAGACACGAAAGCUAGGGGAGCGAACGGG
rnacentral:rRNA from 1 species